GAUCUUCACCUAUUUCCACAGAUGCUGAAGAAAUUCCUAAAAGGAGUAUUUUUGCUUAGGGAUGUAGUUUUCUCCGGCCUGCUCUAGUCUACAUAUUAUCCAUUGUUGACAGAAACUUGCAAAUCUGACCCUGCAGGCUGGAAGAUUAUUAGGGACAUUGCAAAACGCAGAAGCUUAAAAUGAGCCAGAGGAAGGACUUGGGAGCCAGCCCGUUGGUGUUGUGGCUCUGGAGCAGCCCAGGAGCAGGACCUGCUCCCUGGCCACCAGCCUGGGGCAGCUGUUGUGUGGGGCAGCACCAGCACAGCCAGGGACAGGCACCACAAGAGGAGUCAGAAAUGUGCUCACACCAGCUUCAGCUGCCCCUCCCUGCACCCAGCACAGCUCCAGAGCAUGGGCUCUAUCCUUACACUGGUAAGCAUGGUUUGAACCUGACCUGGGACUUCUACUGCCUUUCCAUAAAUCCACUGAAUCAUUUAUGUUUGUAUUAAGGUUUAUAAUCUUAUAAGGUUUAUAAGGUUUUUGAAAAAGGAGCACUGACCUUUGGCCAAUGUCAUUUGCCAGACUUCCUCCAAGCGAUGCCAUCAGGAAUUACAGGGAUAAUGAGGUGGAACAAUUUAUUAAUCUGUCAUCCCUGAGCAAAUGGGCUACAUUUGUUUUGGAGCCUUAAUGUAGUGGUCAUGGGUUAACCAGCUUGUAAAAUCCCUUAGGCAUUUCUUUCCACAUAGGAAUAAACUGAGAUCUCACUGACCUACCAUACAGUAGGGAAAAUAAUGGGUGAAAUCUAUA